rnacentral:lncRNA from 1 species
CUGCCGCCGCCACCGCCUCAGGGAAGAGGAAGGAGGCCGCGGCUUCGCGUCCCGCCUCUCGCCUGGCUGGCCGUGGGGGGCCUGGACGCAGUGGCCUCCCGAAUCUCCCAGGACCCUAAUAUCGCCCGAGGAUGCUGGGAGGAACGCUGAGCCGACCUCUCCGUUAGGCUGAAGAUUGCACAAACCAUGCUAAUGGCCAGCAUGGAUGGAGGGAGCGUGUGAGAUGUGUGGGGCAGCGUGCUGCAUCUCAGCCAACUCCAGGAGAUGGAACGAAGUCUGUUUGUGGAAACACCCUUCCCCUCUGUUUACUUGGACCUGAUUUUGAAAGUAACAAGUCACUUUAUUUGGGCUGGAGGAAAAAGCACUAAACCAGAUGUUGAGGUGACCGGGAUUCCUGGAAGACAUUCUUCUCUCCAACGAGACACAUGAUGCAUGAAGUAGGAGCCCCUGGCAAGGAGCCCAGGCUGCCAUGGCCUCGCUCGCUCCUGCUUCCCGGCAUGGCCCCGAGGCUAGCUGCCUCUGUACUGCCUGAGCAUCGUCCCCUGGCGUGUCACCAGACUACCCACUACCUGUGCUUGCACCUGCAGGUGGGCAGUUCAGUCGUUGCAGGCUGAAGCUCCCUGUCACAGGAGUCCAUCAGCACUGGAGUUUACCAAAUGGCCCAGUCCAGGAAGCAUGCUCAUGGCAAUACCCGGAGUCUCCACUGCAAGACCAGAGUGACGGAGGCAGCAGAGCUCCUCAGCAGGCCAGGAGUCUCCAGAGGCACUGCCGAAUGUCUAAGAAGCAACCUCAUUGUAUUCCCAAGACCUGGGAAUCCAGGUCUCGCAGAUACGAUGAUACAAUCUAUAGCCAGGACAUCUCUUCAUGUGUAGUUUUCAAUGAAUACUAGGAUAAGCAACUAUCCCAGUCUUCCCAGGAUUGAGGGGCUUCUCCAGAUGCUGCACUUCUGGUGCUAAAAAUGAGAAACUGAAAUGAAUUAGUCACCCAAGGAAUGCUGACCCUGUGCUAUAUGAUCACAUUUACUCUUUAAAGCAAUGCUUUGAGACAUGAAAGCCAGAUAGGGAAGAAUUUGCAGCCUCAUACUGAUUGGCCAGUUGAGGAGUCAACUCAUCUCUCUUAUAGAAAAAAGAAGAUUACAUUUACGGAAUACAGAAUAUACUGUGCUCUCUACUUACCAAGAGAUUUCUUUCUCUACUGACAACUUUCUGUUGACGUGGUUACUGUGCAGGUUCUGACAGUCGAUUCUUUCCACCUAGUUCACUGCUGAAGCUAUAAUGAUUUCCAUUUUGCAAAAAGAGGAUGAUUACUUAUUAUCUGUGACCAUUUCUCAAUUCCAGAACAAUUGAGCUGCAUAGUCCCUGCAAUCUUAUAAAGGCAUUUGGCCUGGAAGAUGCUCUGCAGCCAUGUGCCAAGAAUAACGGCUAUAGGGACAAUGUUUCAUUAACCCCAAAGCAGCAACCUGAACCUCUUACUGUACAAUAUCUGCUCCGUUCAGAAUUAGCUCGACUUGAGUCACAGGAUGAAGCUUACCAAAAGGAAUUUCCACGUCCAAGGAAGGAACCAAGAUCACUGAGAGGUUAUAGUAUGAAAAGUGAAGAGAAAAAACCUAUUCUAAACAUUUUAUUAAUUGUCAAUAAUUAUUUUAAAAUAUUUAAUAUAGUCUCCUACCUGGUCCACUGGCAUCAAGCUGCCAAAUUUACACGGUCACUUUGGGAAGCCAGCUGGCAGGCAAACAUGGAAAGUGCUGGCUCCUAGCGUAGUGAGAAGACCACAGAUAGAUGGUAAUUUUCUUCUUUGUUUUAUUUUUCUUUUUCUUCUCUCCCUCUUUUUCUUCCCUCUUGCCUUUCCCUCCCAUUGCCCACUUUCUUUUUUUGGCUGCCGAAGAUUUAUUGCCUUUCAGUACUUAUAGAUGAUGUUUUCAUAAGUUCUAAUGAGGUCCCAGCAGUUUUUAACAAUAACAGGACAUUACUGUUCCUAAGAUAUAUUAUGUGUUUUCCCUCAUCUUUCUCCCUUGAAUGAAAUGCUUAGAAGUAGGCUAACCCCCAAUUCCCUUCCCUUUACUAUGAUAAAUGGCUCCAUUACUUAAUAGGGCUAAAUACUCUGCUGUGACUUUUAUACUGCUGAUUUGAAUAAAAUCUUACGAAAAGCUUUUCUCGUGU